rnacentral:rRNA from 1 species
UCUAGAUUAUUAAUAGUUAUGAUCUUUAAAAUUAAAAAAUUUGGCGGUAUUUUAAUCUAUUUAGAGGAACCUGUUAUAUAAUUGAUAAUCCACAAUUUAUUAAACUUAUUUUUUUAAUUUAUAUAUCGUCGUAGAUUGAAUAUUUUAUAAGAAUAAAAUAUUCAAAAUUUUUAAUAAAAAAUAAAUCAGAUCAAGGUGUAGUUUAUAAAUAAGAAUAAAUGGGUUACUUUUUUUUAUAUUGGAUAAGAAAUUGAAAAUUUUUUUGAAAAAGGAUUUAAAUGUAAUUAAAAUAAAUUUAUUUUGAUGAAUUAGUUCUAAAAUAUGC